rnacentral:rRNA from 1 species
GAUGAACGCUGGCGGCGUGCCUAAUACAUGCAAGUCGAGCGAACGGACGAGAAGCUUGCUUUUCUGAUGUUAGCGGCGGACGGGUGAGUAACACGUGGAUGACCUACCUAUAAGACUGGGAUAACUUCGGGAAACCGGAGCUAAUACCGGAUAAUAUUUUGAACCGCAUGGUUCAAAAGUGAAAGACGGUCUUGCUGUCACUUAUAGAUGGAUCCGCGCUGCAUUAGCUAGUUGGUAAGGUAACGGCUUACCAAGGCAACGAUGCAUAGCCGACCUGAGAGGGUGAUCGGCCACACUGGAACUGAGACACGGUCCAGACUCCUACGGGAGGCAGCAGUAGGGAAUCUUCCGCAAUGGGCGAAAGCCUGACGGAGCAACGCCGCGUGAGUGAUGAAGGUCUUCGGAUCGUAAAACUCUGUUAUUAGGGAAGAACAUAUGUGUAAGUAACUGUGCACAUCUUGACGGUACCUAAUCAGAAAGCCACGGCUAACUACGUGCCAGCAGCCGCGGUAAUACGUAGGUGGCAAGCGUUAUCCGGAAUUAUUGGGCGUAAAGCGCGCGUAGGCGGUUUUUUAAGUCUGAUGUGAAAGCCCACGGCUCAACCGUGGAGGGUCAUUGGAAACUGGAAAACUUGAGUGCAGAAGAGGAAAGUGGAAUUCCAUGUGUAGCGGUGAAAUGCGCAGAGAUGUGGAGGAACACCAGUGGCGAAGGCGACUUUCUGGUCUGUAACUGACGCUGAUGUGCGAAAGCGUGGGGAUCAAACAGGAUUAGAUACCCUGGUAGUCCACGCCGUAAACGAUGAGUGCUAAGUGUUAGGGGGUUUCCGCCCCUUAGUGCUGCAGCUAACGCAUUAAGCACUCCGCCUGGGGAGUACGACCGCAAGGUUGAAACUCAAAGGAAUUGACGGGGGCCCGCACAAGCGGUGGAGCAUGUGGUUUAAUUCGAAGCAACGCGAAGAACCUUACCAAAUCUUGACAUCCUUUGACAACUCUAGAGAUAGAGCCUUCCCCUUCGGGGGACAAAGUGACAGGUGGUGCAUGGUUGUCGUCAGCUCGUGUCGUGAGAUGUUGGGUUAAGUCCCGCAACGAGCGCAACCCUUAAGCUUAGUUGCCAUCAUUAAGUUGGGCACUCUAAGUUGACUGCCGGUGACAAACCGGAGGAAGGUGGGGAUGACGUCAAAUCAUCAUGCCCCUUAUGAUUUGGGCUACACACGUGCUACAAUGGACAAUACAAAGGGCAGCGAAACCGCGAGGUCAAGCAAAUCCCAUAAAGUUGUUCUCAGUUCGGAUUGUAGUCUGCAACUCGACUACAUGAAGCUGGAAUCGCUAGUAAUCGUAGAUCAGCAUGCUACGGUGAAUACGUUCCCGGGUCU